UCGUCAGCUCGUGUCGUGAGAUGUUGGGUUAAGUCCCGCAACGAGCGCAACCCUUAAGCUUAGUUGCCAGCAUUAAGUUGGGCACUCUAAGUUGACUGCCGGUGACAAACCGGAGGAAGGUGGGGAUGACGUCAAAUCAUCAUGCCCCUUAUGAUUUGGGCUACACACGUGCUACAAUGGACAAUACAAAGGGCAGCUAAACCGCGAGGUCAUGCAAAUCCCAUAAAGUUGUUCUCAGUUCGGAUUGUAGUCUGCAACUCGACUACAUGAAGCUGGAAUCGCUAGUAAUCGUAGAUCAGCAUGCUACGGUGAAUACGUUCCCGGGUCUUGUACACACCGCCCGUCACACCACGAGAGUUUGUAACACCCGAAGCCGGUGGAGUAACCAUUUAUGGAGCUAGCCGUCGAAGGUGGGACAAAUGAUUGGGGUGAAGUCGCAACAAGGUAGCCGUAUCGGAAGGUGCGGUUGGAUCACCUC
rnacentral:rRNA from 1 species